CAGACAUCACAUGUAGAUGCAAAAAAAGAGUGUGCUUUUUCUCAUCUCUCUCUCUUUCCAUGAGGGCCAUUGGCAUUCAUCUACACUCUCAGAUGUCUCUACUAACAUAGGCUUCAUCAGAGGCAUCACAUAGCUCUUUUCAAGAGCAUAAACCCUUUCCUUUUGGAAUCUCAUCUUCUGCUCCCACCUCCCAGCCAUGUUAUACAGUCAUGUCUAAUUAAUCACUGGCAAGAGGACUAGAUCCGCCCUGCAGACCUUAAACCAAUCGGGUUUUACUGCUGGGGAAACUUGGGAGACAGUCCCCCUUUCGUGACACUUGUGGGGAAAUGUGAAUGCUACUAGUUCAACACUGGACACAUUGUACCACAGAAGGAGGGGAGAUCUGUUGGGUAGGCACUUACAAAAAUAUCCUGUGAUCCUUUUGUAGUUCAUAAGCAUGAUAAUUGGGUUUUCAUGCUCAUGUGUGAGCUGUACCUCCCUUAAACCUCGUUAUGAUGUUGACACAUUACCUGUCUGACAAGGACUUUCAAAAAAACUCUAAAAAAGAAAAAAAAAAGAAUAAAAUAAAAUAAAUAAAUAAGAGUAAAAUAAAAUAAGAAUAAAGUAAAAUAAAAAUUUAAACAUCCUGUAGAUUAUGUGCCAAGUGCCCUGCAUAGAGCCUGGCAGCUGUGUGGGCUCCAAUCUCUUCCAUUCAUUUGUAUGAAUGAGGAGAGGUGGCCCAUUUUGAUUAGUUAAGUUUCCAAUUAUGGGUUGUUUUUAAAAAGAUAUAUUGUGAUGCCUUCGUGAAACUCAAAAACUCAAUGAAAAAAGAGUAAGUCUGGAAACCCUGUAAACCAGGUCCCAGGCCAGUUUUUUCAAGAGGGUUGUAUAAGCGUUUUAUUUUUUAUUUGUUUAUUUUUUAAAGACAGGGUCUCACUAUGGGGUCUCACUAUGUUGCCUAGGUUGGUCUUGAACUCCUGGGCUGAAGCAAUUCUCUUGCCUCAGUCUCCCAAGUAGCUGGGACAACAGGUGUGCACCACUGCACCCAAUGGUUUUGUAAGCCUUGACUCCAUAAAACAACUUUAGUUACUUAAAAGGACUUGGUGAUAUACGAGUAAAUAAACAUAGUUUUCAAAUAUGACAUUCCAGGCAAGUUCUUGGUUGUAUAACCAAUGUUUUCAAUGAAAUCCCAGUAAAAUUAAGUCCCAGAUAUGUCCUUAUUGCAUCUACGGAAAUAACUAUAUUGGUAUGAAAAGAAGAAUGUUCAUUAAGAGUUUCCAGAUUCUGGAGGGGUUAGGCUGGAAGAAUAUGAUAUCAUUUAUAAAUGUUUCAUUUCCAUUUACAAAAACAGAGUCUACUAAAUUGUUAUGGGUUAUAGAUAAAAGAAAAAAGAAAGGGCUUCUGUAUAUUAAAACAUCAAUAAUCUCACAGCUGCAGAUGCUGUGAAGAAGAAUAAAAAUAAUUUUGUAAAAAGAAAAAGAAAAAAAAUCAGUAAUACUCCCCCCGCCCACCAUAAACUACAAUCAUUCCUCAUCAGUUCAUUUAGCCCUAUGUAAUUAAUUCUUGUUUCACUGGAUCUUGGGUUAGCAUUUUCAUGACUCCAUUUGUUUCUUGCCUAGAGUUCUGGAAAUCCUUACUCAGUUUGCUGGUAUGGUCUCAAAAUUGUUUAAGUGAUGCCAUCAGCAGCACAUACCCCAAAAUACCCAACAUAGUCCUUUUCCACGGGUCUCUGAGACAGUCCUUUGUUGAAGAGGAAACAUUUUCAAGGAAGCGUCAGAGUAAAACAAAAAAACUACCUCUAGAUGACAAAAGGCUUAAAAUACUGUGCUUAAUGUAUUACUGAUAAUUUUCAAAAGCAAAAGUUCUGAUAAGAAUUUAUUCCAAUAAAAAUGCAACCGAUAAGAAAAUUUGGUUGCUUCUGUGGCAUGCCAAAAAGAAAAUAAAGUCGAUUCAAAAAAAUUUUAGAUAAAAUAGUUAAAAACAUAAUGAUUAGCCCUUUUUCAAAGAAGACAGG
rnacentral:lncRNA from 1 species